UACAGAGGGUGCGAGCGUUGUCCGGAAUCACUGGGCGUAAAGGGCGCGUAGGUGGCGACCCAAGUCUGUGGUGAAAGCUCGCCGCUUAACGGCGAGUCGGCCACGGACACUGGGUGGCUCGAGCACUGUAGGGGCAGAUGGAAUUCCGGGUGUAGCGGUGGAAUGCGUAGAGAUCCGGAAGAACACCGGUGGCGAAGGCGGUCUGCGGGGCAGUAGCUGACACUGAGGCGCGACAGCGUGGGGAGCAAACAGG
rnacentral:rRNA from 1 species